rnacentral:rRNA from 1 species
UUGCCAGACUCCUACGGGAGGCAGCAGUGGGGAAUAUUGCACAAUGGGGGGAACCCUGAUGCAGCGACGCCGCGUGGGUGAAGGAGCACCUCGGUGCGUAAAGCCCUAUCGGCAGGGAAGGAAAGCGAACAGGUUCGCCUGGACGGUACCUGACUAAGAAGCCCCGGCUAACUACGUGCCAGCAGCCGCGGUAAUACGUAGGGGGCAAGCGUUAUCCGGAUUUACUGGGUGUAAAGGGAGCGUAGACGGCUAGUCAAGUCAGAAGUGAAAGCCCAGGGCUCAACCUUGGGACUGCUUUUGAAACUGAGUAGCUAGAGUGCAGGAGAGGUAAGCGGAAUUCCUGGUGUAGCGGUGAAAUGCGUAGAUAUUAGGAGGAACACCAGUGGCGAAAGCGGCUUACUGGACUGUAACUGACGUUGAGGCUCGAAAGCGUGGGGAGCAAACAGGAUUAGAUACCCCUGUA